rnacentral:rRNA from 1 species
UGGGGAAUCUUGCACAAUGGGGGCAACCCUGAUGCAGCGACGCCGCGUGAGCGAUGAGGCCCUUCGGGGCGUAAAGCUCUUUCGACCGGAACGAUAAUGACGGUACCGGGAGAAGAAGCUGCGGCUAACUACGUGCCAGCAGCCGCGGUAAUACGUAGGCAGCAAGCGUUGUUCGGAGUUACUGGGCGUAAAGAGUGCGUAGGCGGUUUUCUAAGUUCGGUGUGAAAUCUCCCGGCUUAACUGGGAGGGUGCGCCGAAGACUGGGAAGCUGGAGUGUGGGAAAGGCAGGCGGAAUUCCUGGUGUAGCGGUGAAAUGCGUAGAUAUCAGGAGGAACACCGGCGGUGUAGACGGCUUGCUAAACCAUAACUGACGCUGAGGCACGAAAGCGUGGGUAGCAAACA